rnacentral:rRNA from 1 species
UACGGAAGGCAGCAGUGGGGAAUAUUGCACAAUGGGCGAAAGCCUGAUGCAGCUAUGCCGCGUGUAUGAAGAAGGCCUUAGGGUUGUAAAGUACUUUCAUCGGGGAGGAAAAAACAAAACUAAUAAUUUUAUUUCUUGACGUUACCCGAAAAAGAAGCACCGGCUAACUCCGUGCCAGCAGCCGCGGUAAUACGGAGGGUGCUAGCGUUAAUCAGAAUUACUGGGCGUAAAGAGCACGUAGGUGGUUUUUUAAGUUCAGAUGUGAAAUCCCUGGGCUUAACCUAGGAACUGCAUUUUGAAACUGAAAUACUAGAGUAUCGUAGAGGGAGGUAGAAUUCUAGGUGUAGCGGUGAAAUGCGUAGAUAUCUGGAGGAAUACCUGUGGCGAAAGCGGCCUCCUAAACGAAUACUGACACUGAGGUGCGAAAGCGUGGGGAGCAAACAGGGAUUAGAUACC